rnacentral:rRNA from 1 species
UACGGAGGGGGCUAGCGUUAUUCGGAAUCACUGGGCGUAAAGCGCACGCAGGCGGAUCGAUAAGUCGGGGGUGAAAGCCCGGGGCUCAACCUCGGAAUUGCCUUCGAUACUGUCGGUCUCGAGUCCGGGAGAGGUGAGUGGAAUUCCUAGUGUAGAGGUGAAAUUCGUAGAUAUUAGGAAGAACACCAGUGGCGAAGGCGGGUCACUGGGCCGGUACUGACGCUCAGGUGCGAAAGCGUGGGGAGCAAACAGG